rnacentral:rRNA from 1 species
GACGAACGCUGGCGGCGUGCUUAACACAUGCAAGUCGAGCGAUGAAGCUCCUUCGGGAGUGGAUUAGCGGCGGACGGGUGAGUAACACGUGGGUAACCUGCCUCAUAGAGGGGAAUAGCCUUUCGAAAGGAAGAUUAAUACCGCAUAAGAUUGUAGUUUCGCAUGAAACAGCAAUUAAAGGAGUAAUCCGCUAUGAGAUGGACCCGCGUCGCAUUAGCUAGUUGGUGAGGUAACGGCUCACCAAGGCGACGAUGCGUAGCCGACCUGAGAGGGUGAUCGGCCACACUGGGACUGAGACACGGCCCAGACUCCUACGGGAGGCAGCAGUGGGGAAUAUUGCACAAUGGGGGAAACCCUGAUGCAGCAACGCCGCGUGAGUGGUGACGGUCUUCGGAUUGUAAAGCUCUGUCUUCAGGGACGAUAAUGACGGUACCUGAGGAGGAAGCCACGGCUAACUACGUGCCAGCAGCCGCCGUAACAC